CUGGCGGAAAUUCCAAAGGGAGCUCCCAUAUUUUGUCAAUCAAAAAGUUGACAGCACUCCCAAAAAUGCGCAUGCAUUCGGUCUGUGAUAUUGGCAGAGUGAAACACAGUGACAAAGAAGUACUGUGGCAGCUGGUGCAUUGACAAGUAACAGCCCAGACGGCCCAGAAUGCCUUCCUCCCUCAGAAGCCAUAACUCAUCCCUGAUUGGCCGCGCCGCCUUUCAUCUGCGCCGAGGGCCUAAUCACAGCGACUUGUUUUUGGGGGGUUGUGUUGUGGUUCCAGGCCCCACACCCCCCCUCCUGCCAGCCCAGUACUCCAAUAUGAGGAAGACAGGCAAGCCAGGGACUUUGAGAACAGUAGCUAGCCUUCCCCUUCACUCUCUCUCUCUCUUUCCACAUCUCUAUCCCACUUUCUGUCUCUCUAUCCCUCACUCUUCCACUUUCUCUCUAUCUAUGGCUGCAGUUGCAGCGCUUAAACCACUAAACUGAUGAGCUUCUCCAGCCUAAUUUUUGCAUGCAAAUGCAUUACAGAGUGCUCUGAUUUCUUUUUAUUUUUCUUAAUUUUUCUGUAUCUCGGCCAAAACCAUAACUGUCCCGUCACUUUAAUUGGACGAUUAUGAAUGUGAUGACAGGUCUGUUAAACUGAAGGCAGAGGAAAAAUUAUAAACUGAGAUUAUAUAAGUGCCGCUGAAAAGCCUAUCAUCUCUCACAACUGUUCAAUAAACAGUCAAUACCUUUUCCCUAAGACCUUUCCCCCAUGAGACUGAUGAUGUUUGAUUACAAUGUUUUUCAGAAGAUAUCACUGGCAAAUACUUAAUAUAAACAAAAAUUUAAUUGUCACGAAAUAUGUUAAAAUUGCUUUAAAUUAAUUUUAAGACAUGGGAAUGCCUCCUAAGAAUGCCUCAGAAUCCACUUAGCAGAUAUCACAAAGGUGAAAUACAAUUAUCUUCAAAUAUAAAGAGCAUUCCAUAUAAUCAAGUGCAUUAAACACAUAUUUCCUCAGGGUUGAUGACCUGAACUGAUUAAUUGUUAAAUAUGACUACAUCUGUUAGUUAGUUGUGUUGUAACCGAGUGUGCUUUGGAUGCAGGUGUGUUCAAAAUAAUUUGCAUCGAUGCAUAACUGUGUUCUAAUGAAGGAAAAUAAUAAAACAUAAAGAAUUCCCGCAUCAUCGUAAAGCCAUGCGUCAUGCAGUUUGUGUGACUGAGAUGACAAGGACUUCAACUAA